rnacentral:rRNA from 1 species
GAUGAACGCUGGCGGCGUGCCUAAUACAUGCAAGUCGAGCGAACAGACUAGGAGCUUGCUCCUCUGACGUUAGCGGCGGACGGGUGAGUAACACGUGGAUAACCUACCUAUAAGACUGGGAUAACUUCGGGAAACCGGAGCUAAUACCGGAUAAUAUAUUGAACCGCAUGGUUCAAUAGUGAAAGACGGUUUUGCUGUCACUUAUAGAUGGAUCCGCGCCGCAUUAGCUAGUUGGUAAGGUAACGGCUUACCAAGGCAACGAUGCGUAGCCGACCUGAGAGGGUGAUCGGCCACACUGGAACUGAGACACGGUCCAGACUCCUACGGGAGGCAGCAGUAGGGAAUCUUCCGCAACGGGCGAAAGCCUGACGGAGCAACGCCGCGUGAGUGAUGAAGGUCUUCGGAUCGUAAAACUCUGUUAUUAGGGAAGAACAAAUGUGUAAGUAACUAUGCACGUCUUGACGGUACCUAAUCAGAAAGCCACGGCUAACUACGUG